rnacentral:rRNA from 1 species
CCCUUAGAUGUCCUGGGCCGCACGCGCGUUACACUGAUGCAUUCAACGAGCUUAUAACCUUGGCCGAGAGGCCUGGGCAAUCUUGUUAACGUGCAUCGUGAUAGGGAUAGAUUAUUGAAAUUAUUAAUCUUGAACGAGGAAUUCCUAGUAAACGCAGAUCAUCAAUCUGCAUUGAUUACGUCCCUGCCCUUUGUACACACCGCCCGUCGCACCUACCGAUUGGAUGGUCCGGUGAAGCCUCGGGAUUGUGGUUCUUGCCGCUUUAUCGUAGCGUGACCGCGAGAACUUGUCUAAACCUUAUCAUCUAGAGGAAGGUGAAGUCGUAACA